rnacentral:rRNA from 1 species
AUGCACGCGGCAAAAAUUCCACCUCGGCACUUGCACCCCCAUGCAUCUGUGAUCCUUCAUUCGCACGCCAAGACCAGACCCGUCAAGUAUAACUACACCAUGUUGAUACGGGAACCACUACCGUCGACCUUCGAAGAACAUGGUUUUUCCGACUACCCCUUUGUUUUAUCAAGACCGUCAAUUCCCUCGACGACAAGCGCACGAUUACGCGGAUUGUACCAAGUACCCCUUCGUUUCAUCGAGACCAGCAAGUCCGAAGACCCCAAGUACCACGACAACCCCGAAGGGAUUCAAAUCCGUCAAGUUCCUCUACCGAUGACUCGAACGGCUACGAAACAUGUACCACUACCGUCGAGCCGCGAAGACCCCGUGGACGUCAAGUUCCGUGUCGUGACCCCGAACAUCUACGGAAACUUGUGCGACUAA